AUCUACCUCGUUGACCGGAAGACUUUCCUUCCGGUCAACGAGGAUGAACCUUGUUGAUCGGAAGGAACCCCUUCCGAUCAAAGAGGUAGAU
rnacentral:miRNA from 1 species